GACGUAGGGGGCCAGCGUUGUUCGGAAUUACUGGGUGUAAAGGGUUCGUAGGCGGUGCGGCAAGUUGGGAGUGAAAUCUCUGGGCUUAACCCAGAGGCUGCUUCCAAAACUGCUGUGCUUGAGUGUGGGAGAGGCGCGUGGAAUUGCAGGUGUAGCGGUGAAAUGCGUAGAUAUCUGCAGGGACACCCGUGGCGAAAGCGGCGCGCUGGACCACUACUGACGCUGAGGAACGAAAGCUGGGGGAGCAAACAGG
rnacentral:rRNA from 1 species